rnacentral:rRNA from 1 species
GACGAACGCUGGCGGCGUGCCUAAUACAUGCAAGUUGAGCGCUGAAGGUUGGUACUUGUACCAACUGGAUGAGCAGCGAACGGGUGAGUAACGCGUGGGGAAUCUGCCUUUGAGCGGGGGACAACAUUUGGAAACGAAUGCUAAUACCGCAUAAAAACUUUAAACACAAGUUUUAAGUUUGAAAGAUGCAAUUGCAUCACUCAAAGAUGAUCCCGCGUUGUAUUAGCUAGUUGGUGAGGUAAAGGCUCACCAAGGCGAUGAUACAUAGCCGACCUGAGAGGGUGAUCGGCCCCAUUGGGACUGGGCCACGGCCCAAACUCCUACGGGAGGCAGCAGUAGGGAAUCUUCGGCAAUGGACGAAAGUCUGACCGAGCAACGCCGCGUGAGUGAAGAAGGUUUUCGGAUCGUAAAACUCUGUUGGUAGAGAAGAACGUUGGUGAGAGUGGAAAGCUCAUCAAGUGACGGUAACUACCCAGAAAGGGACGGCUAACUACGUG